UGCCCGGUAGUGUAAUGGUAGCACAUCAGAAUUUGGGUCUGAGCGUCAAGGUUCGAAUCCUUGCCGGGCAACAA
rnacentral:tRNA from 1 species